UAAUUAUUUACGUAGCACAAAUAACCACAGAUCCACAACACUUUAUCCAAUUUCAUUAGUCAAAAAAUCUCUUCAAACCGACUAAUCAAAAUAAUCAAAUCCCCAUAAUAAUAAAACUCCUCCAUUCCCAAAUCUCAACACACAAAAAAAUGGCAAAAACCUCCAUAUUCUUCACCAUUUUGUUCAUCAUCAUCUCUGUAUGCUCAUCAAACCCGGAUCCAAACCCAAACCCGAACCCGACCCAAUCUCAGGCCCACAAAGAACUACUCACAUACGGGUUUCCCAUCGGCUUACUUCCCAAAAACAUCAACAACUAUGUCCUAAACACAACUUCAGGUCACUUCAUUGUUUCUUUAAGUGACACGUGUCGAAUCACCCUUCCACCAGACAACUACCUUGCAACAUAUUCCAAGAAAAUUACAGGCAAAAUUGUUGAGAAUAAAAUUGCUGAGCUUAAUGGGAUUAGUGUUAAGGCAUUUUUUAAAUGGUGGGGCAUUACUGGUAUUAGAUCUAGUGGUGAUAAUUUGGUGUUUGAAGUUGGUAUGGUUACUGCUAAAUACCCUUCUAAGAAUUUCAAGGAAAGUCCUGAUUGUGAAGGGAAAAAGAAACAUUCCUCUUUCUAAGCCUGCAGGGCCUUUUUCAGCUGCUGCUUAUGAAAUAAGCUCAACAAAGUUGGGCAUGAUGGUGCUGAUAAAACUCGCAAGUUCUCUUAGCAUAUUAUCUUAUCCGAUUAACGAUUUAGUAAAUUACGCAAGCAGUUGCUAAGUGGUAUUGUAUAUAUUAUCUUGAACGUUGUUAAUGGCUACAGAGAGACUGUUGACUCU